rnacentral:rRNA from 1 species
AUUGAACGCUGGCGGCAGGCCUAACACAUGCAAGUCGAACGAGUGGCGGACGGGUGAGUAAUGUCUGGGAAACUGCCUGAUGGAGGGGGAUAACUACUGGAAACGGUAGCUAAUACCGCAUACCAUCGGAUGUGCCCAGAUGGGAUUGGCUUGUUGGUGGGGUAACUGCUCACCAAGGCGACGAUCCCUAGCUGGUCUGAGAGGAUGACCAGCCACACUGGAACUGAGACACGGUCCAGACGCCUACGGGAGUCAGCAGUGGGGAAUAUUGCACAUUGGGCGCAAGCCUGAUGCACCCAUGCCGCGUGUAUGAAGAAGGCCUUCGGGUUGUAAAGCACUUUCAGCGGGGAGGCGGUCCCCGCAGAAGAAGCACCGGCUAACUCCGUGCCAGCAGCCGCGGUAAUUC